rnacentral:rRNA from 1 species
AUUGAACGCUGGCGGCAGGCUUAACACAUGCAAGUCGAGCGGAGAUGAGGUGCUUGCACCUUAUCUUAGCGGCGGACGGGUGAGUAAUGAUUAGGAAUCUGCCUAUUAGUGGGGGACAACAUUCCGAAAGGAAUGCUAAUACCGCAUACGUCCUACGGGAGAAAGCAGGGGAUCUUCGGACCUUGCGCUAAUAGAUGAGCCUAAGUCGGAUUAGCUAGUUGGUGGGGUAAAGGCCUACCAAGGCGACGAUCUGUAGCGGGUCUGAGAGGAUGAUCCGCCACACUGGGACUGAGACACGGCCCAGACUCCUACGGGAGGCAGCAGUGGUGAAUAUUGGACAAUGGGGGGAACCCUGAUCCAGCAAUGCCGCGUGUGUGAAGAAGGCCUUAUGGUUGUAAAGCACUUUAAGCGAGGAGGAGGCUACUGAGACUAAUACUCUUGGAUAGUGGACGUUACUCGCAGAAUAAGCACCGGCUAACUCUGUGCCAGCCGCCGCGGUAAGAC